rnacentral:rRNA from 1 species
AGGAUAAACGCUGGCGGCGUGCCUAACACAUGCAAGUCGAACGUCUCUUCUUUCGGGAAGAGGAGUGGCGGACGGGUGAGGAACACGUGGGAACCUGCCCUUUAGUGAGGAAUACCGGCGAGAAAUCGCCGACAAGACCGCAUAGGCUCGAUGCAAGUCGAGCAAAGCUCUUUCGAGAGAGGGAGCGCCACACGAGGAGCCUGCGCCCGAUUAGCUAGCUGGUGGAGUAACGGUUCACCAGGGCGACGAUCGGUAGCUGGUCUGAGAGGACGAUCAGCCACACUGGGAUUGAGAACGGCCCAGACUCCUACGGGGGGCAGCAGUGAGGAAUUUUCGUCAAUGGGGGCAACCCUGAACGAGCAACGCCGCGUGCAGGAGAAGGUUUCGGAUCGUAAACUGCUUUUCUCGGGGAAGAGAACGGACGGUACCCGAGGAAUCAGCCCCGGCUAACUACGCGCUAGCAGCCGC